CCUACGGGCGGCUGCAGUGGGGAAUAUUGGACAUUGGGGGGAACCCUGAUCCAGCCAUGCCGCGUGUGUGAAGAAGGCCCUCGGGUUGUAAAGCACUUUCAGUGAGGAAGAACGCCUGGUGGUUAAUACCCAUCAGGAAAGACAUCACUCACAGAAGAAGCACCGGCUAACUCCGUGCCAGCAGCCGCGGUAAUACGGAGGGUGCGAGCGUUAAUCGGAAUUACUGGGCGUAAAGCGCGCGUAGGUGGCUUGAUAAGCCGGUUGUGAAAGCCCCGGGCUCAACCUGGGAACGGCAUCCGGAACUGUCAAGCUAGAGUGCAGGAGAGGAAGGUAGAAUUCCCGGUGUAGCGGUGAAAUGCGUAGAGAUCGGGAGGAAUACCAGUGGCGAAGGCGGCCUUCUGGACUGACACUGACACUGAGGUGCGAAAGCGUGGGUAGCAAACAGGAUUAGAUACCCUGGUAGUC
rnacentral:rRNA from 1 species